AGAGUUGAUUAUGGCUCAGGAGUGAACGCUGGCGGCGCGCUUAACACAUGCAAGGUCGAACGGGUUAAAGCGACCUUAGGGUGUGACAUAAAGUGGCGAACGGCUGAGUAACACGUGGGCAACCUGCCCCCCGCACCGGGAUAGCCUCGGGAAACCGUGGGUAAUACCGGAUACUCCGCCACCCCCGCAUGGGGGAGGCGGGAAAGCGUACACGGCGGGGAUGGGCCCGCGGCCUGUUAGCUCGUUGGCGGGGUAACGGCCCACCAAGGCGAUUAUGGGUAGCCGGGUUGAGAGACCGACCGGCCAGAUUGGGACUGAGACACGGCCCAGACUCCUACGGGAGGCAGCAGUGGGGAAUCUUGCACAAUGGGCGAAAGCCUGAUGCCAGCGACGCCGCGUGCGGGAUGAAGGCCCUCGGGUUGUAAACCGCUUUCAGCAGGGACGAGGCGCAAGUGACGGUACCUGCAGAAGAAGCCCCGGCUAACUACGUGCCAGCCGCCGC
rnacentral:rRNA from 1 species